CUGUCAGACAACCGUGUAACCAUCCCAGCCAGUUUUAACACUGUCUGAGAACGAUCCUCCAUUGCCACAGAUGACACUCUCAGAAGAGAAGCCAUCAGAGCCAUUAAUCACGCUCUGAUCACACGGUCAUGAUUCAUCAACCAGGUUUAGGUUCUUGUCUCCUUAGAACUCAAGGACACAAUGGUACGAGCCUAUAGAACAGAUCCUGUUCAAGUAAGGUCGUGACCAUUCAUCUCCCGUUUUGCGUAUAUAAACCUUUUUUAUUUUGUAAUUUCUCUUGAUGUGGGACUAAAUUCAUCUAUCUUUGCAGCACUUUGUUGACAUAUCGGGUUAUAUAAAUCUGGAAACAUCGUAGAGCAAAGAUGAAAAUGGAGAGUUUAUUCGGUAAAGCAUUAGCAAUGUGCAUGGGAUAAUCGAUAUAAAUAUGAAAUCAUGCCGUUCUCUAGUAAAGAUACAUAGUACGAGUUAACUUAUGUCAUUUGUAGUGCUACUUCUAUUAGGU
rnacentral:lncRNA from 1 species